rnacentral:rRNA from 1 species
AGUUGUAAUUUGUAGAGGAUGCUUCGGCGUCGGCCCCCCCCAAAGUUCCUUGGAACGGGACGUCAUAGAGGGUGAGAGCCCCGUGUCUAGGCGGAUGCCUUCGCCAUGUGAAGCUCCUUCGACGAGUCGAGUUGUUUGGGAAUGCAGCUCAAAACGGGAGGUAAAUUUCUUCCAAAGCUAAAUACCGGCCGGAGACCGAUAGUGCACAAGUAGAGUGAUCGAAAGAUGAAAAGCACUUUGGAAAGAGAGUCAAACAGCGCGUGAAAUUGUUGAAAGGGAAGCGCUUGUGGCCAGACUUGGCCGCGGUUGUUCGGCGGGGCUUCUGCCCCGUUUACUCUUCCGCGGCCGGGCCAGCAUCGACUUGGGCGGCUGGAUAAAGACCGCGGGAACGUGGCUCCCUCCGGGGAGUGUUAUAGCCCGUGGUGCAAUGCAGCCUGCCUGGGUCGAGGUCUGCGCAUCUGCUAGGAUGCUGGCGUAAUGGCCCCAAGCGGCCCGUCUUGAAACACGGACCAAGGAGUCUAACAUUCGUGCGAGUGUUCGGGCGUGAAAACCCGGGCGCGCAAUGAAAGUGAACGGAGGUGGGAACCCUUACGGGCGCACCAUCGACCGAUCCUGAUGUCUUCGGAUGGAUUUGAGUAUGAGCACGUAUGUUGGGACCCGAAAGAUGGUGAACUAUGCCUAAGCAGGGCGAAGCCAGAGGAAACUCUGGUGGAGGCUCGCAGCGGUUCUGACGUGCAAAUCGAUCGUCAAAUUUGGGUAUAGGGCGAAAGACUAAUCGA